rnacentral:lncRNA from 1 species
AACUUACAACUUGAACUUGAUAUUUAAUUACUUUAUCAAUUUCAAUGUUCAAACUUCAAAGACAAUGAAAUUUUUUGUUUUGUUACAUUAAUUGAUUUUUUGAACCAAACUCAAACCGAACCCAAGUAAAACCGAACCGAACCAAACCGAACCAAACAUAAACUGACCCAAACACAAACCGAACCAAACUAACUUCGGUUGAGUUUGGUUAGAGUUUUACGAAACCCAAAUAAACCGAACCGAACCGAACCCAAACCGAACCCGAAGUUAAACCGAAAUGCCCACCCCUA